UGGCCCAUUAACUUCCUCUCUCACCACCUUCUCUCUCCUCAACCUCCCACUCACUCACUGUAAUAGCCGAAAAUCGUUGGAAUUUUUCGCUAUUUAAACAAUUUCCUGCCGAAUUCUUGCAAAAACAACACUUCAUUAUCAUACUUCAAAGUUCAACCAGGCUUAAUCAAGAAGUUUUGCUCAAAAAAUCGUGAAAAAAAAUCCCUAGAAGUGCGAAUUCUACUAAACUUCGAUGGAUAGAGGUGACGAAGAACCGAUUGCUUCUGAAAAAAUCUGCGAAAACACAAGCAAAAUCGAGCACAUGCAAAGUGAUGAAGUUGAUAAUCCAGAUGAUUCUAGUCUAAAUUCUACUUCUACAGAAGAAAAUAAUACAAAUACCAAGGAGGAUCACAUCCAAACUGAAAAGGAUGAUAAUCCAGUUGUUUCAGAACUUAAUACUGCUGCUACAGAAGAAAAUAGUACAAAAACGGAUGGAUCCAAGAAAAAAAAUGAGGAUGAAAAAUCACAUGCAAAUAACCAGAAAGAAGUAAUUGUGACAACUGAUAAUGAAGAAACUGAUGAUGAUGAUGAUGAGAAAAGGAAUGAAGACAAUGAGAGAGAAAAUCCGAGAUCAUCUACUGGGUGGGAGAAUGUAAAGAAAUCAACCCUUUGUCCAGGGGAGAAAAAAGGUUAUGUGGCAGAGGAAGAUGAUGAGGAUGAGAACAAUGUCAGUGAUGAAGAUGAGAACACUGACGGAGAAGGGGAUGAGAAGACUGGCGGUGAUGAGGAUGAAUCUGAAAAGCCGGAGUCACCUACUCGACAGAAGGUUGAUGAACAAAUUGAAAUCAUUAACAAAGAUGAGUUUUAUGCCUCUGCACCGAAAAGAAUGAUAAGAAAAUUUGUGGCGGCAAAGACAAGAUUGCAACCACUUUGGGGAGUGAAAUUGAUGACGACAGAUGCAGUAAAAGAUCCAGUAGAAGAGGAACCCGGAGAAACAGAUGAUGAUACAUUGCUAAGUCAAUUCAAGGUUUCAAGAACACAACCACCAAAGAAAAGAACAAAGAAGGAAAAGGAAGCAAACAGGGAAGAGGAAGAAAAGCCAUUGAACAAGAGAAAAAGAGAGCAAUUCCAGAUUGUGACAACAAGAGACAAAGGCAAGGGCAAACUAAGGAAAAUUGAAGAGGAUGAUGAUGACUGUCUGGAGUUGUUAGAGAUAGAUGAGGAUGCAAUGCCUAUUGUUCCAAAGAAAAAGAAGGCAAAAGUGGUUUUAUAUCAGAAAGUUCCACCAACCCAAUUGAUCGAGCUGAUCAAGAUACUUCCAGAGACGCACAAGGCUGCUAUCAGGAAAAUUGGAUUUGGUGGAUUUCUGAGCCUAAGUAUGGCAAACCAUAAUUCUGCGCUGGCAGAAUACCUGGUUACGAGCUGCAAUGUCGACAAAGAGUCGAUAAUUCUGCCACAAAGUGGAGAAAUUUUUAUAAAACCAGAAGAUAUUCAUUUGGUGUAUGGGGUGCCAUUAGGAGGCGAGGAAAUUCAAGAGCCAGAAAAUGAGGACAUCGAUGAUAACUAUGUGGAGUUCUUGAGAACAUGGAGGACAAGAUUUAAGCUCAAGAAGGGAAGCCCAACAAACUUGCCACUAAUCGCUAGAAUCAAGGACCUUGCAAAACAGCCUGUAUGCGAUGAGUUCAUUUGGAACUUUGUCAUUGCUGCUGUAAACUCCUGCAUGAGAUCAACCACCAACCCACAACUAUACAUCAAGUUCAUGUACAGCUGUAUGAAUGUAAACACGAUUGCUAAUCUGGAUUGGAGCGCGUUCGUGUACAAACAUUGGAAAAAAUCUGUGACCGAAUGGAAGGCAGGAGUUUCUUUUUAUACUGGACCACUACCAUUUCUGUUGAUAGUAUACUUUGAUCGCUUACAAAGAGUAGGGCAGCAAGUUCCAAGAGAAGUCCCGCUACUGUCAGUGUGGAAUAGAGAAAGAAUGAUAGAAAGAAUCAUCAUCGAAAAGGCAAGAGGAUUUGGACAAGGUGUUGUUCUGGAACGCAUGGGAGGUGAAGCUGUUGUUCUGAGAAAUGUUGUGCCAAAUGUUCAAGUUCCACCAACAAGAGAGGCACCAAAUAUGGAAGGCACUUCUUCAAAUUCAAAAACUGAAAUGAUGGACUUUUUGGAGAAAUUUGGUACAUUGGCAAAGACGCUUGCUUCCAAUGUUAGUGAGAUGUACAUCAUGUUAGACCAAGCACAUGGAAUGUUUAACGAGGAAGAAAUGAUAGAGAAAAUGCAAAGCCUAGUUGAAAACAUUUGGAUUAAGUACACCUCUAAGAAACAAAAUCAGAGCCAAAACCAACCUGAAGAAGACAAGAAAAACAAGACCCCAACAAUUCUAAGCCAGGAUCAACAUUUGCUUAACGAGCCUGCAUUUAUUGAGGAGUUGGAUAACUUAAUGGAAAAUGCAUGAAAUAUAUACUAUGAGAAAAGAGCUAACCAAGAGAAAAUACCAACCAGUCCUAGAGAAGCAGAGGUACGAGAGAUAUUAGAGAAUGCAAAAGAUUUUAUUACUCCAAAGUUGGACAUACCAACUCCAGGGUUCAGAACAAGAAGCUCAACUCCUGAAAUUCCUCAUGAGCCAGAAGUGAAGAGCCCUGUCACUGAAAUCCCAUUACCCAAAACUCCUGCAGUCACUAAGCCAGCAACUGGAGAAUUCACAAGGUCCAACUUACUAAGGGCCUGUUUGGCCAAGCUUCUGAAAAUCAACUUCUGUUUCUUAGAAGUAGUUUUAUAGAAACUGUUUCUAGAGCAACACUUCUUAGAAACACAUCUGUUUGGCCGAAAAAUUUAGAAACACUUUCAAGAAGUAGAAAUAGUUUUAUGUUGUUUGGCCUAUUUUAUAUUUAUAAAAUUUAUUUUAUCCAUUAUUAACAAUAAAGUAAACCAUGUUAAAAUAUUUGUAAGGAACAAAACACGACCCUAAGUAAGAUUAUAAUUAACAAAACAAAAAAAAUUAAGUUAACAAAAAGUUAGAAAAUAAAUAAAUAAUCGAUAACAAAAAAAUUAUUAGAAUAAUGACACUUGUUCUUUAAUCACUUUCUUCCACAACAUUCCACAGAUUACCAAGUAUCAACUCCCCCAAUUCCCUAAACAACCGAUCAACAUGCAAAACCAUCAAUAAAUUUCCCAAUUCUUACAUCAAACACUAAUCCAUAUCCUUGAAAACAGUAUUGGGGACGGAAAAUUGUCAAUUCAUCUUAAUAAAACAACCAAUUCACAGCAAAAUUAGCCCCAUAACAUCAACUUUCUCUCUCCUCCUCCAUUAAUCCCCUUCUCAAUGCUCUACUUUUUAAUUGGGUCAAUCUCACUCGUAUUUUUUGGUUGGAAAAUAAUUAUAUGAAGUUAAAGCUCAACCCUUUAAUGGAGGGAGAGGGAUAAUUGUGGAAAGAUAUGGGUUUUGUUUUCAUUUAAGCCAAGCAAGUGAAUGUGGUGACAAACAAUUUUGUUUUGAAAGUGAUGAAACCCAAAGGGAAAAUACGGUGUUCUGGGAAUGAAUUUGAUGGUGAAAAGUGGGGGUUUGGUUCUUGUUAUGACAAAUACAGAGGGAGUUGACAAUAGCAAUAGAGGAGAUGAGAGAGAAAGGGGUUGAAUAUGGAACAACAUAGGUGAAAACAAGAAGCAUUAAUGAAUUAGAUGGGACAUGGAGUCAUUUUCUACAUAUAGCAGGGGUAUCAUUGUCCAAGUCAAAUAUUCAUUAAAUGGGAAAAGAGCUCCCCGAGAAACAGUUUGAAGAAGCUUCAUUUUGGAGCUUCUAUUUCUCAGGCCUUAAGAAACGCUUUUGGGCUUCUACAAACCAGCUUCUCAUUCUUCAAAAAACUCAUGUUUGGCCUAGUUUCUGAUUCUCACCUCCAGAAGCUGUUGUAGAAGCUUGGCCAAACGGCCUCUAACUCCCUCGCAAAUCAUUCCAGAGCAAACACUUGCACAUCCCAAGCCUCACAUUGUUGAUUCGGCUACUUCCCAACAGGGGGGGAGUGAAUCAGCUUCUGGAAGUCUGAUGAAAAUGGCAGAUGCAGCAGCUCUGGAAAGCAAGAAAGAUAAAUCUGAACAUACUGCACCUCCAGAACAGAACGAAGAGGGUAAAGUGGCUGGAGCAGGGGAUGGAAAACAGAAGAGCAAGGAAGAGAACAUGGGGGAAAGCAUGUAUGAUGACAAGCUAACAACGAAAAACAGAGAGGAUAUACAAAGUCUUGUGUGUGAGACAUACGUGCUAAACAACAUUAUUGAUGCUUAUUCAAACGUUCUGAACACCGAAAACAGAAGAAGGAAUGUAGAGAAAACAAAUAGAUUCUUUUUCUCCACACAAAUUUACCUUAUCUUGUGCUCGAACAAAUAUUUCAAAGCAAAUAAUAGCCAAGACGAGAGGAUGCAAUUUCUAUUUACAAGGAUGAAGUAAGAAAUGAGUCGUGCUGGAGUAGUAAGCUUCAAAUAUACCCAACUGGUAAGAUAUGUAAACUUA